rnacentral:lncRNA from 1 species
CCCAUUUCCUCGCUGACCCAUCAUGCGAAAGGUACGCCGUUAGAGUGAGUGCGCCCGCGCUCCGCUCCUUCGACUGAUUGUUCGCAUCGGAUCUCAGGUUCUCCCCCUAAGGUGCAUAGCCGAAAGUUCUACCUUGUACCAAUCCGUAACUUGGUACCCGCUCCUUCGACUGAUUGUUCGCAUCGGAUCUCAGGUUCUCUAUUGCACUCCCCGAUUGGGGUUCUUUUCACCUUUCCCUCACGGUACUUGUACGCUAUCGGUCAUUGAGGAAUACUUAGGCUUAGAGGGUGGUCCCCCUUUCUCGCGUAAAAGCGAUCAUCAUUCGAACACGCCGCGUUCUAUUUUUAACGUCUAAUUAGAGCGGGGAAUCAUUCCAAUUAGGAAGUUCAGCUCGUUGCUUUUUAUUUUACCAGAAUUGGAGCCAGGCUCUAUCCAUUUAUUCAUUAGACCCAGAAAAUCGUAAUUUUGGAUUCCAUUCAAAAAAGAUUGAUUUUAUUACGACAUGC